UCCAUAUAUGGUCACUUCAUGUUUAAUGGUGAACUCGUCCACUUCUGACACAGCGUCUCUGGCUUCAGUCCACAGGUGAGAGGGGAGACCUGAGCUGUGGGUGGGCCUUCCUCAAACUGACCGACGACACUGGGAACCCUCUCCCCCACAGGACCUUUGAGCUGACGGUGAAUGGAGGGACUCCCUAUGAGAAGGAUGUGGAGAUGGAGGCCUCGGCCCCCACAGGACCCCCAGGCGGCGUCUUCCAGCAGAUGCUUCAGGCCCGCCGUCGGCCCAAACUGAUCCUAAAGCUUAAAUCGUGCGGCAAUGAGACCAGAACUCGUCUCAGGUGGGAUUAAGAACGUUAGAUAACCAAACCAUCAGCUCCUCUUGAGUGUCCUUGUCUCCUCUCCUC